UCAGGAGAAAGGACGCAGGUUUAUGUUUCGCUUUGAGCGAGGAAAAUAUUUUUUCCAACAACAUGCCUGCAACUAAACAAAAAAUGAAGAUGGCUAACAAGAAACAUCGGGACAAUGUACACAUAAGGGGAAAUGUACCUAAAACAUUAAAGUCAGUUGAAGAACAGUAUCAAGUUGGACCAUAUUUAUUAGCUCUACUUAUUUUUGUUGUCUGUGGUUCAGCUGUUUUUGAAAUUUUUGAUCAUUUCCUGAGAUGAUAAAGAAAAAGUGAGAAAGAAAACCUAUUUCCGAAGAGUUUUGUAUAAACAUGUACGACUUAU